GGGAGAGUGCGAUGUUGGCAUGGUUCAAUCAAACCGGGCAAACUUAUGCACUAGCUAAGCAAGAUGCAGGGAUACGCAGUAUGGUUUUGUUUGGUCUGAUUGAGCCGUGCCAAUAUCACAAGCUUGC
rnacentral:pre_miRNA from 1 species